rnacentral:lncRNA from 1 species
AGAAAGAUAUAUAUAAAAAAAUAUUUUAUUAGGAUAUACAUAAAUAAUAGUAAUUAUUUGGAAAUAUUUAUAUAAAUUUAAAUAUGUAGAAAGAUAUAUUUGUAAAAAAAUUCAUUUGCUAUUUGAUUCUGAUUACAUUUGGGGCUUUCAUGUAUUUCUGUCCAAUGGUACUCUAGUCUUCUCUGGCAGGGGCUUGUAUCC